rnacentral:lncRNA from 1 species
GAGUGAUGUUCCUAACAUUGACAAGAAGAAGUGAGUAUAUGAUACAUCUUAUCUCUAUCUCUUUUGUUGGUUUUAGUACUUUACUGUGGUUGUGAUUGUUUUGUGGAUAAAUUAUAAAUGUUCUUUAUCAGAGCUAAUUUGUUUUGCUGUCUCAAGUGAGUGCAGCCCAAGAUAUUGCAGUCUCAAGUGCAGUCUCAAGUCAAGUCCCAAGUGAGUGCAACCCAAAAUCUAAACAGAUUAGAAAUUAGGCUCAACUUAGAUGAGAACAAGUUUGUUAAUUUUGGCACUUGGAAUCUUAGUUUAAUCCUUGGAUUGAGACAUUUUACUUGUAUGGUGUGGAUGAUUUAUGAAAUGUAAAUAUUUUAUAUAAAUUUCAAAAGAGGUUUUCG